rnacentral:misc_RNA from 1 species
AUUCCAUGACACCACGACCCAUUAGACAUGCCUUGCAUCAGGUUCAUUCGAUCGUCGGGCUUACGAUCUCGCUGGUGCUCGCCUGUGUAGGCGUCACCGGCGCACUGAUGAGUUUCGAGGAUGAGAUUGUUGAUCAUCUGAACAAGGNNNNNNCCGCUUCUGACGCCCGAGGAAAUGAUUCGGCGGAUCGAAGCGGAUAAUUCCGGUGCGCGGG